rnacentral:rRNA from 1 species
UUGACGGGGCCCGCACAAGCAGUGGAGCAUGUGGUUUAAUUCGAAGCAACGCGAAGAACCUUACCAGGUCUUGACAUCCCGAUGCUAUUUCUAGAGAUAGAAAGUUACUUCGGUACAUCGGUGACAGGUGGUGCAUGGUUGUCGUCAGCUCGUGUCGUGAGAUGUUGGGUUAAGUCCCGCAACGAGCGCAACCCCUAUUGUUAGUUGCCAUCAUUCAGUUGGGCACUCUAGCGAGACUGCCGGUAAUAAACCGGAGGAAGGUGGGGAUGACGUCAAAUCAUCAUGCCCCUUAUGACCUGGGCUACACACGUGCUACAAUGGUUGGUACAACGAGUUGCGAGUCGGUGACGGCGAGCUAAUCUCUUAAAGCCAAUCUCAGUUCGGAUUGUAGGCUGCAACUCGCCUACAUGAAGUCGGAAUCGCUAGUAAUCGCGGAUCAGCACGCCGCGGUGAAUACGUUCCCGGGCCUU